GAGACCAGAAGUCUGAAAUGUCUUACAGGCGGAAAUCAAGGUGUCAGCAGGGCUGGUGGCUUCAGGCGGCUCCAGAGCAGAAUCCGUUCCUUGCCUCUUGUGGCUUCUAGAGGCUGCCUGUGCUCCACAGCUGUGGCCCCAUGCUCCGUCUUCAGAGCACACACUCCAACCUCUGCUCGGUCAUCACACCAUCUCUCCUCCUCGCUGACAUUGGCCCUCUCGCCUCCUGCUCACAAGGACCCUUGUGAUUCCAUUGGGCCCACUUCGAUAAUCGGGAUCAUCUCUCCAUCUCAAGAUCCUUAACUUAAUCCCAUCUGCAGUGUCCCUGUGCCAGAUGCUCACCUUUGGAACCCAGCCACCACGUUGCAAGGAAGCCCAGGCCCCAUGGAAAGGUACGCUUGAGGAAGAAACAAGCCCGCCCCGCAACAGCCAGCACCAACUUGCCAGCCAUGUGGAUAGGAAGUGGAUCCUCCAGUCCCAACCAAGCCUCCAGAUACUGCAGCCUUGGCUCACAUUUGACCACAGCUUUAUGAGAGCCAGAAUUACCCGCCAAGCCUCUUCCAGAUCCCUGAUGCUUAGAAACAGUGAGAGGUAAUAAAUGAUUAUUGUUGUUCUAA